CCUAGAUUAUCCUUUUCAAAUAUAAAAGAAAAGGAAAAAAACUAAUGAGACGUAUUCCAUUUUUUCUCUAACCUGGACGGAGCACGAAGAAAAGAGGAAGAGAAAGUGAGAGAGAAUCAGGUCGUUGCUAGCGAUCGGAGGCAGAGAGAGAUUAGCACCAUUUGAAUCGAAGAUGGAGAGAAGCCACCUUAAGUCGCCGAUUGAGGAUUCGAGAAGGUUUGCGCUUUUUGGAAAUCGGCAGUGGCUGUGUGGCGAAAACCUGAUGGAGAACACCGUUGUGCUUUCACUUACGGACCAAAGUGAGGGCACGAUUGAAACUCCAACACAAAAGAAGCAUUUUGGGACAUGGAAAUAGAAGAAACUGUGAUUUGAAGCUCAGUCCAAUGGGGUUCCUUAUAAAAGGAGGUUUGGUCAGUCAUCAUCGAUUGAUUGUUGCUUGCCACUAUGAGGGUAAAGGAUGGAAAUUUUGGCGUGAUAGCAAUUUGAAGAGUAAAUUUUAGGGUCACUCAAUUCAGCUUGAUCAUGUUGUUCUUUUAACGGUGGAAUUUGACGAUAGAGAAAUUUUUUAAUGGAGUAAGGUUACAACAUCAAUUAACAACCUUAUAUUGGAAAAGCUCUAUUGUGACCACUGUGGUACAAUGCGUAUACAGGGGAAUCAUAACUAUUCUUGCAAGCUGAAAUUCAAGGAGCAAUCUAUCAUUGACCAAAAUCCUCACCAGGUACAUAGUUUAGUUCAAGAUAGAAAUGGAAAAACAAUAGCAAUACUAUUUGGAAAAUGGGAUGAGAGCAUGCAUUAUGUGGAUGGAAAUUGUUCUGGGAAGGGAAAAGGAUUGGAGUCUUGACCUGAUGCCCAGUUGCUUUGGAAGCGGAGCAAGCCACCCCAGUUUCCUACAAGAUAUAACUUGCCACGCUUUGCCAUCACCAUGAAUGAACUCACCCUUGGAUUAAAGUUGCAGGAAAAGUUGUCCCCUAUAGAUUUAAGGCUCAGGCCUGAUCAAAGGUAUCUAGACAUUGAUUGCUACAACUUUUUAUCCCUUGCCACAGCUUGAGAGUUAGUUGGCUUCUAGGAAACCAGAAAUACUACUUCGGCUGGGGAAACUAGAAAAGCAUAUGUGGAUGCAAAGAGGCUGGGGACUUUCUAGAAAGAGUUCUUAUGGAGAAAUACUACUUCGGCUGACAUAUAAAGCAUAUGUUGAGGAUGAAGAGGAUGACAAAGCUGAGGCAGAAUCCACUAACAUUGAUGCUUUAGAUUGUGAAAGAAGAAACAAAGUAUUCUAAAGAAGCAGAUAAAGAGUCAUUCAUGGAUGUCUUAGCUACUUUAAUUGUGAGUGAAGAAUUUCGAGGAACAGUAGCGUUAGAAACCGGAACUACCAAAAUAUUGAAUAAUGCUUCAAGGGUAGAAUCAAGAAUAUCAAGAUCGCUUGGUCUUAAUGAUGAAUCCGCACCCCAAGAUUCAAACAAUAGUUCAGAACGUCCCAAGGCAAACACUUAAAUUGACAAAGGUAACUGCAAGCGAUAAGCUGGAGAGUUUUCAUGCAGUAAAAAAGGUCCUCAAGGGUUAUAUUGCACUUGGGAAUGCUCAAUUUCCUAAUGGAACCAAUGGUAAUGCCCUAGACAUUCUUGCUUGAGUUCCACUAUAGAAAAAUGGUCUUGAUUAUCGGCACGGUACAGGCCACGGAAUUGGGUCUUACCUUAAUGUUCAUGAAAGCAAGUAUCAAAUUGGUCUCCGUUAUAGUGGAGGUGCCCCGUAUGCUUUUAAUGCUGUCACUAAAGUUUGGCAUUAUACCAAUUGUGGUGCCAGUUGGUGUUCGAGAUUUUAACAUUGAUGGGGAACUUUGGGUCAAGUUAGGAUUGAUACCAACAGAGCCUUUUGUAGGAGUUGUAAUAUUCUCUAGAUUUUAUUCAUAAAACACUUGUAUAUUUUUCUCUUGCUAAUUCAGGUUUAGUUUUUAGUUUUUCUACAUGAUUCUUAUGUCAAGAUGAAGUGGAAGGACCCAAUUUCAUUAUUAAAUUCUCCAUAUUGUUUGAGAUGUGGAAAAACAAGAAAUAAAAAGGAUGAGAAUUUAAAUAGAUAGAUUUCCUUGUGUCCAUGCAAUUGCAGCAUGUAAGCAUCGACAUAUUUCUCCAUAUUUCCUUUGCUCGGUGUAUUACUCAGUUGACUCACUCCGUGAUGCAUAUUCGGAAACCAUAUAUCCACUUGGAGAUAAAUGUCAGUGGCAUGCUCCAGAUGAUGUCAUAAACCAGGUUGUACUUCCACCUCAAAUUGGCAAACAGUCAAGAAGACCGAGAAAGAAGAGGAUUCAAUCUCAAGGAGAGGAGCGUCAUCAAUAUAGAUGUGGGAGGUGCAAACAGGUUGGUCACAGUAGCCGAUCAUGCUCCGCCGCCGUACCUCUUGAUAGCACUACCAACCAACAGUACCAUUGAAACGAAGGCCCAUCAAUUGCCUGAUGCUAUAUUCAGACAAUGGGGCCAUGUUAUGCGGUAUGUGUGUGUAUGCAAUGUAGUCAGGAAUGCAAUUAGUUGCUCACCCACGUAACAUGUGUUUUGGCAUAAUAGACGUUGGCUUUAUGUGUUCUUUUGUUGUCAAAUUCAUCUGUCGUAUUGUUUUGAUAACAUAUCAUUCCGUGUUCAGUUUUUGGUUCAGUUGUUUGUAUGUUUCUUACUAUUGCAUGGAUGAUAUUACUGCCCA